rnacentral:rRNA from 1 species
UACGUAGGGUGCAAGCGUUAAUCGGAAUUACUGGGCGUAAAGCGUGCGCAGGCGGUUUUGUAAGACAGGGGUGAGAUCCCCGGGCUUAACCUGGGAACUGCAUUUGUGACUGCAAGGCUGGAGUGCGGCAGAGGGGGAUGGAAUUCCGCGUGUAGCAGUGAAAUGCGUAGAUAUGCGGAGGAACACCGAUGGCGAAGGCAAUCCCCUGGGCCUGCACUGACGCUCAUGCACGAAAGCGUGGGGAGCAAACAGG